rnacentral:rRNA from 1 species
UACGUAGGGCGCAAGCGUUGUCCGGAAUUAUUGGGCGUAAAGAGCUCGUAGGCGGCUUGUCACGUCGGGUGUGAAAGCCCGGGACUUAACCCCGGGUCUGCAUUCGAUACGGGCAGGCUAGAGUGUGGUAGGGGAGAUCGGAAUUCCUGGUGUAGCGGUGAAAUGCGCAGAUAUCAGGAGGAACACCGGUGGCGAAGGCGGAUCUCUGGGCCAUUACUGACGCUGAGGAGCGAAAGCGUGGGGAGCGAACAGG